rnacentral:lncRNA from 1 species
CCAUAGAAACACAUAGACACACAUCAGUGUCCAAAUUUUCCUCAAGUUAUGGGGAUGUCUGCAUUAAUCCAUGUUGAUGAAUGAGGCACAUCUCUUCCAUACCCCAGUCUCACCUUCUCCCUGCCCUACCUCACCUCUUCUCAGGCACCCCCUCCUCCCCAGCCUCCUCCGCACAGGGGGAACUAUUUGGAUGUGGAGUAGUAGGGAAGCUGGCCUGAGACACAGCUUCCAGUGCAGUCUUGCCUGAAUGUACUGUUCCCUGUUAGCGUUAUUUCUCCUGGGGUCAGUAAGCUGCCCAGAGAGAAGGAAGACAGGUCUGGAGUUUACAGAAUGUCUGUUUUUAAAGUCACUUUAUGCGUUUCCCACUUUUUUUUUUUUUUAAAGAAAAAAGCACCGGUUUUUUUGGUGGUGGAUAAAUAAUACUAAAAGGAAUCUAGUGAAAGGGGGAAAAAAUCAUAGAGCAAGAGGAUUGUGGAUUUCCAGGUACUUGGAUUUUUUGUAGAAGAAGAGAGAAGUGGAUGAAGUUUGCCAGAAGGGCCCAUAUUUUUUCAGCUGAAGGGUAAAAUCUUUCUUUGCAGAGACAGUAUUUUGCUGAAUACUUUUUAUAAUGUGAUGAUUAUUUAAAAAAACAAACAAAAAUUUUGGUCACUUCAAAGCUGGAAGGAGGAAUCAGAUAACCCUUUAAUAUUUUUUCCUUGCUCCUUCUGAUCUAUGCAUGUCACUGCAUGAUAAUUCUGAGUUUUCCUUUGUUUUAAUAAAACUGUUCUCAGACAUUUAAACUAAACUAAGAGAAAAAUGACUUUGUUGCCAAAAGGUUGUGCUAUCCAGAUUUUUUAUAUGUCUGCAUGUUUUAAGAGGAAAAAAAAAAGAGAAAAUGCACUCUAACUUAUGUGAACUGAGAGAAAAAAAAAUCAGGUUUUAAACAGGAAAACCUAUGGGGAAUGAUAUUUUUUGAAAGACUUUUGUAUAAAGUUGAGUACUUAGAAAAAGACAAACCAGAUGUAAUAUAUUUUGUGGAUGUUUUUAUUUCUUGGAUUUAUAGUACCUUAUACUAAGGUUAAAAAAAUAUGCUUGAUAUUGUGAAAAGGUGAAAUUCUUCACCAACAUUUCAUUUGCUCCUUUGUCACAUUGUUAUGCCAAUAUAAUAUAGUUAAUGAAAACAGCAUUUUUAAAAACCGAAAUAUUGAAAUGGUGUCAUGUUGUACCAUUUGCACUGUGAGCAAAUGCUAAUACAGUAAAUAUAUUGUGUUUGCUGACAAUC